rnacentral:rRNA from 1 species
CCUACGGGUGGCAGCAGUGGGGAAUAUAGGACAAUGGGGGGAACCCUGAUCCAGCCAUGCCGCGUGUGUGAAGAAGGCCCUCGGGUUGGAAAGCACUUUCAGUGAGGAAGAACGCCUGGUGGUUAAUACCCAUCAGGAAAGACAUCACUCACAGAAGAAGCACCGGCUAACUCCGUGCCAGCAGCCGCGGUAAUACGGUGGGUGCGAGCGUUAAUCGGAAUUACUGGGCGUAAAGCGCGCGUAGGUGGCUUGAUAAGCCGGUUGUGAAAGCCCCGGGCUCAACCUGGGAACGGCAUCCGGAACUGUCAAGCUAGAGUGCAGGAGAGGAAGGUAGAAUUCCCGGUGUAGCGGUGAAAUGCGUAGAGAUCGGGAGGAAUACCAGUGGCGAAGGCGGCCUUCUGGACUGACACUGACACUGAGGUGCGAAAGCGUGGGUAGCAAACAGGAUUAGAUACCCUUGUAGUC